AGAGUUUGAUCAUGGCUCAGAUUGAACGCUGGCGGCAUGCUUUACACAUGCAAGUCGGACGGCAGCACAGAGAAGCUUGCUUCUUGGGUGGCGAGUGGCGAACGGGUGAGUAACAUAUCGGAACGUACCGAGCAGUGGGGGAUAACUAAUCGAAAGAUUAGCUAAUACCGCAUAUAUUCUGAGGAAGAAAGCAGGGGACCAUUUGGCCUUGCGCUGUUUGAGCGGCCGAUAUCUGAUUAGCUGGUUGGUGGGGUAAAGGCCUACCAAGGCGACGAUCAGUAGCGGGUCUGAGAGGAUGAUCCGCCACACUGGGACUGAGACACGGCCCAGACUCCUACGGGAGGCAGCAGUGGGGAAUUUUGGACAAUGGGCGCAAGCCUGAUCCAGCCAUGCCGCGUGUCUGAAGAAGGCCUUCGGGUUGUAAAGGACUUUUGUCA
rnacentral:rRNA from 1 species